rnacentral:lncRNA from 1 species
AUUUGUUGAAUGCUACUAUGAAAUUUCAUAGUUAAUGAGAUUUCAUAGUAGCAUUCAACAAAUGAUGGCUUCAAGCAGACAAUAAUUUGAUUCAUAAUGGUAUCGACUGUGAGAUUCAUUAGAGGAAAGCAGAUUUGUAUCCAGAUGAAGCAAAUUGUGCAUAAUGGUUACGGCAGAUUGGCAAAUCUCUAUCUAGAAAUGCAAGUUAGUGAUUUGGUGGAACUAACUUUCAAAUUCACAAGUGUAUCAAGAGCUACAAUUUAUAGGAUUGGUAGAAAUGAAGGACAAGCAGAAAUUAUUUACAUUAGAUAAGAAACAGAUAAAAUGAUGCAGUGUAGUGAUUGUCUAACAAGAUAUGAUAAUUUUAUAGUCAGUAAUUUGUGAAAAAAUUUAUACUUAUUUUUCCAAAACAAAUUUCCCACUAUUAAUAGCUAAUUAUUAGGUAACUCAUUGUCUCC